AUUUAAAUAAUAUAAAAAUUAUAUUUGACUUCCAAUCAAAAAAUCUAUCAAAUUAGUUUAAAUA
rnacentral:tRNA from 1 species